CUUGGGUAGAGAUUUGAUGGCUGCAGCAGCUAGAUUUGCAUGCUCAGAUGCCAAUUCAAUAGCCCUCUGUAUUCCAUUACUCUUGCCAAGGAUUUCAGAGGCCUAAAAAGUUUAAGCAAGGCAUAAAGUUAAGAAGUUGUAGCAAGCAAGAUAUGUGGACAGGUGUGAAUAUAUCACAGUAGCGUUGCACAAUGAUCAAUCACUAUAUUGCAAUCCUUUCUCUUAUUAACAUACUUCAUUCACUGAUCAGUUUUACUUCAUUUCACUUCCACUAUGUAUGCUUACGUAACAGUCGAUGAAGGCAGGGAAACUAGUUUUAUGUACUAGUCAAGAUAUAAGAAACAUUCUAGGAGAAGCAAAAUUUGAGAUGACAACAACUCACCAGAUUCCUGCCGUAGUCAUACGCUAACAUGGAAACUUCUGCUGUUUGUCCUGUGAUAAUAGAAACUGCUUGGCAGCUGUUCGAUAUCAAUGCUGCCGUUUUGUUAUACGUCUUUUCCAUAUAAUAUUCCA